CAAAGAUGUGGACCAUGGAGUAGGUUGCCAAGGUGUGCUGACCCUUGCACUGCUGUUUCUCUGUUGGACACAUGUGUACACAAAUAAACACCCCAUGUGAUCUGUGGAACUGUUUUUCCCAUCGGGAUAAUCACAGCUACUCCAAUUAUAACCACACGUGUGUGCGACUUACUCCUGGCAGAUAAUUCAGUGAUUGUAAAGCUAUCAAGUUACUAAAAAAUAUCCCCUUCGGCCUGCUCUUUAAUUACUGAACUGUUUCCCAUCACAUUACAGGAAGAAAAAGUACAUUUGGUAGUAAUUGUCUGACGUGAAGGCAUCUACACACGGAGUUCUCUGCUCAUCAUGCAAGUGUGGUAAACUCCUCGAGAUAUUUUUAAAGGAGACUUUUACAGAGGUUGCCUCCAUUAUGAAUCGAGGGGCAGACAGCUGCUGCUGCUGCUUUCACUUUGGUCUCUCCCAGAUCUGGAGGAAUCUGAUGUGGUCAAAGUAAGCAGCCGGUCGGCACAGAGAAGAGGAAUUAUUUGUGGAAUGCAGCAUCAGCCAAGUCUCAACACACACUCUGGAAAGAAUUGGCGUAGGCUCACCUGGUUUUGCGUGCAGAGGAGUCUUGAAGUGUAGGAGUUUGGACUGGUUUUUCUUUUUCUUUCUCUUCAUUAUUACUACAAAAAAACAGAUGCAAAUCUCCCAUUGCCUGCUUGCUUUUCACAUUUCUCAAAGUCAGAAUAGCUGUAGCUUUCAGUAGGACUUACCUUGUUGCAAACA
rnacentral:lncRNA from 13 species